ACGGAGGGUGCAAGCGUUAAUCGGAAUUACUGGGCGUAAAGCGCACGCAGGCGGUUUGUUAAGUCAGAUGUGAAAUCCCCGGGCUCAACCUGGGAACUGCAUCUGAUACUGGCAAGCUUGAGUCUCGUAGAGGGGGGUAGAAUUCCAGGUGGAGCGGGGAAAUGGGUAGAGAUCUGGAGGAAUGCCGGGGGCGAGGGGGGAGCACUGAGCGUAGACUGACGCUCAGGUGCGUAAGCGUGGGGAGCACACAG
rnacentral:rRNA from 1 species